UACGGAGGGGGCGAGCGUUAUUCGGAAUUAUUGGGCGUAAAGGGCGCGUAGGCGGCCCUGUAAGUCAAAGGUGAAAUCCCUCGGCUCAACUGAGGAACUGCCUUUGAAACUGCAGGGCUUGAGGCCGGGAGGGGGUAGCGGAAUUCCCAAUGUAGCGGUGAAAUGCGCAGAUAUCAGGAGGAACACCGGUGGCGAAGGCGGGUCUCUGGGCCGAUACUGACGCUGAGGAGCGAAAGCGUGGGGAGCGAACAGG
rnacentral:rRNA from 1 species